AGGCCUGGAUCUCCAAGGAACUCUACUUCCAUACUAAGGAUGCAAUGUGACUGGAAAACUUAUUGAAAGCCAACUUGCUGAAGAGUUAGGAGACAGGACUCAGAAUUCAAGAAGAGGAGAUAUUGAGAGACUUGGGACCAACUCAAAGCCGCCAGCCUCUGAAAAGGGAUCUUCAAGGAAGUCUGAAGAAAAUGAUGAAAGUGUCCUCCUUCAUUGACUAUCAAUAUGCCUAGUGUAAGAAAAAGGCCCAAAAGGAGACUCUGAGUACAAUUGACUAUGGGAAACUCACAGUAGACGGCAUUUUGAGAAUAACAAGGGAGACAAGUCAGUCUAAAAAAUAUCCUGUGCUCCAGCCUCUUGACUAUAACCUGGGAGAAAAAAAGAUUAAGACAACAUUUGUGUAUAUGCCAGAUUUUCUGAUUCCGCUAGUGGAAUGAGAAUUCAUGUACAUUAAAUGCACAAAUAACAUUCAUAAGGAUUGUUCCAGGAUAUGAAUUUUAAAAAAAGGUCUGAAACUAGAAAA